rnacentral:rRNA from 1 species
UUGAUCUCAAAUCAGGUAGGACUACCCGCUGAACUUAAGCAUAUCAAUAAGCGGAGGAAAAGAAACUAACAAGGAUUCCCCUAGUAACUGCGAGUGAAGCGGGAAGAG